rnacentral:misc_RNA from 1 species
UACGUCAUCCCGCCUGGGGAGUACGGCCGCAAGGCUAAAACUCAAAGGAAUUGACGGGUCCCCGCACAAGCGGCGGAGCAUGCGGCUUAAUUCGAUGCAACCCGAAGAACCUUACCUGGGUUUGACAUCACGGGAAAAACUGAGGAAACACAGUGUCCGUAAGGGCCCGUGACAGGUGGUGCAUGGCUGUCGUCAGCUCGUGUCGUGAGAUGUUGGGUUAAGUCCCGCAACGAGCGCAACCCUUGUCCUAUGUUGCCAGCACGUAAUGGUGGGGACUCAUGGGAGACUGCCGGGGAUAACUCGGAGGAAGGUGGGGAUGACGUUUCCAGGUUAGG